AAACUUUCAACAACGGAUCUCUUGGUUCUGGCAUCGAUGAAGAACGCAGCGAAAUGCGAUAAGUAAUGUGAAUUGCAGAAUUCAGUGAAUCAUCGAAUCUUUGAACGCACAUUGCGCCCUCUGGUAUUCCGGAGGGCAUGCCUGUUCGAGCGUCAU
rnacentral:rRNA from 1 species